rnacentral:lncRNA from 1 species
UUUGGUCUAGUAUUGGGUCUUCAGACUUGAAAAUACAUGUUCAAGGAAAAAAAAAUAGAGUUAUGUAGUUGAAUGGAGUAUAGAUGGAAUGCAACAUGGAUUUAUAGACUAAUUUUUCACUAUGUGUCUGAUUGCAUUCUCUGUCUGUCUCUAUACAAGGGAUGGUGAUAACAUUUUGGAGAGAAGGCUUAUUUAGGCUAAGGAGCAAUGCAGGCACAGUGCAAAUAAGCAUGGAUUGUCCAAGAAGAAUGAUUGCCGAAUCUUUUUUAACCAUCAGAAUAAUGUAAUUGCCUUUCUGUCUGAAUACCAGGCAGCAAGACCUAAAGUCUUAGGGCAGAGCAUGCUUGUAACAGGACACAUUUCUGGCAAGUGCAGGGUGCUGAAAGUGAAAGCAAAAAAAUUCCUUUCAGGACCGUGUAUUUAAGAUACUGUUGUCUUACUUCUGUUAUGCUGACUCAGUUUUCUUACCCUCCAAGGAGAAGGGCUCUUUCUGCUGGUGUAGGCGUUCAGCCCUCAUCCUCCUGUUGUGUUAGGAGUGGGUGACUACAGAAAAAAUAGACUGGGCACAGAAAAGCUCUUCAGAAUUGUGGGAAGACAGCUGUGCUUCUCUCCCCAGCAAAUCUAGGUAAGCAAAGCUAGCAAGGAAAGCUAAGGCUUGUAAAAGGAUGAAAGGAUUUGGGAAUGCACAGGAAUACAAACAACAAGAAGCUCUCAGGAAAAUUAGUAGAAAAUUGGUGGAUUUUUCUCCCUGUAGAAAAAUCAGGGAAGUGACUCAAAUGCUGGAAAUGGUCACACAGGUACAGAGAGUAACUGCAGGUAUAGUAACUGGAGAACAAACUGUCCUCACAAAGGCAGAGCUGCCUUCAAGGUAUGGACACAGGAAAGAAGGAAGCAAGGAGUCUAAAGGACAAAUGUCAUGGGUAUGCCCUGUUCCUUUUUUCACAGGUUCCGUGCAGCCGAUCAGUUGGGCUGCUGCUGCACAUAGGGCAUUGGGAGCGGACUCUAGUACUCAGAAGCUGGAGAUACCUAAUAAUAAUGUAUGGAAGGUCUGGCAAGACUGGCCAACUCUAAUUGGAUAUAAAUAACCUGGAAGCUCCACUGGAAUAGCUAAAAGCCAGGACUAUCAGGGUGAAAGACCUAAUGCACAUCUCUAAAAUAGGCAGAAGUGAUCCAUAUCACAACCGAUCCAGGAGAAAGAUGACACUGAAACCUGAAAGCGACUCAUUGCUUGAUGAUGCAAUGCUAAUAAAAAUAAUGCAUAGGCCUGUACAGCCUUGUUACUAGUAGACAUGAGGAGGACAAGACUAAAAGAAAUAAUCUGAGCAUAUUGUCUGGUCUCAUGAACAUGAGCUGCCACA